UUGUGGGCCACGUAACACUUCUGUAGUGAAUAUAUAUACGGAACGGUGCUUCAUAAACUCUGCAUUUCAGUGUACACCUUUACCGCUGCCGGAUGAUCUUUUUUGUUAUGGACAACAAAUUUAAUUCCGAGCAGAAAGACUAAAUGGCCUUUCAGCAUUUGUGCUACCCAUCCAAUUCUGUUACAAUUGAAACCGGCAAUUAGCCUAUGCCAUUUAAGUGACCCACAACCAAAUUUCGCAAGGAGCCAUAACGUCGUUAUUCACGUUGCUAUCCUACAUAGCCUAAGGCUGUUUGUUUUUUGUGUGUGUGUAUGUUUAUUUUCAGUUUCCAGUUCAUGUUCUACUCACGUUCACGUAUAAGUUCACGAUUCGUCAUUAAAAAUAUUGAAUUGUGAGAGGUUAUGACUUUGCACCGCUUUGGUCCAUCCGGAAGAAAAAAAACUAAAUUGCGGUCCUUUCUGCAGACUUCUUCAGACCGCAAACAACUCUCAGCUGAUUAAAAAAGAACAGUCGGAAGUCUUAUACGCGGAAACGUUUUGCAGGUCCUUUUUCGAGUUGUAUCGGAAAUCCACUCCGCGGCUAUGAACUGUGUGGCUACCGCUACAUUGCUGUAUUAUUUCGUUGCUUGUCAUUGCUUACUGGCCUUCGCAACCGCAACGUUCUCAUCUCCAUUCACCUCGAUUUUUCAAAAUGACGUAGCACAGUCAGCAAAAGACGUUCCGCACAACACCAGCGGACAUCGCUGGCUGUCUCGCUACGGCAAGCAAUUUGACGAAAACGAGGAGGAAAGUAUAGAUGAAGCGAAAAUAACAACGGUCGAAAUCAUCGCCAGUCGAGGCUACCCUGUUGAAAUCCACGAAGUAAUCACUGAAGACGGUUACAUUCUGGAACUGCAUCGUAUUCCAUAUGGUAAAGGCCAGGUGCCCAAGCACGAUGUUGAAAAGCAGGUCGUCUUUAUUCAACACGGAUUUCUCAACACCGACAAUGUGUGGCUCAUCACUCCUAACGACCAAGGCCUCGCUUACAUUUUGGCUGACACCGGCGUGUAUGACGUGUGGCUUGGGAACGCUCGAGGCAAUACCUAUUCACGCAAGCACGUUUAUCUUGACCCUUCCGAAGAAGAUUAUUGGAACUUUUCAUUCGACGAAAUGGGAAACUACGACAUUCCUGCAGUGAUCAAUUACGUGCUGGCCAAGACGGGGCGCAGUACGAUGAGUUAUGUUGGCCACUCGAUGGGAUGCGCAAUGUUUUUCAUUUGCAUGUCUUUGUGCCCCGAGUUGAACGCGAAGAUUGAUGUGAUGAUUGGUCUAGCACCAGCGUCAUCUGUUGCAGAGUCCCAGACUGGCCUUCGUUUCCAAGCUCCGUUCGUGAACCUGUUAGUUAAUCUCUUCCAAAUUCUUGGAGUGCGCAUAUACGAGCCAGUGGAUUCGCCACGGAACAGUUUGAGAAAAAGGUUUUGCGGGCCUAGUCUUUUCUUGCGUUACUCCCUCUGUCAAAACCCUAUAUUUGCUACAACUAGUGACGAAUACCGGGAUAUAGAUGUGAAUCUCCUACCUGUUAUUGACGGUCACAAUCCGGCGGGAACUUCAGUUAGAACAGCCGCUCACUUUGCUCAGAAUUUCAACGCGGGUCAGACUUUCCAGCGGUAUGAUUUUGGUCCAACGGAAAAUCAGCUGCGUUACGGACAAGCUACACCUCCCGCUUACGAUCUGAGUCAAGUCACAUGUCCCGUUUUCCUUUUCUGGGGACAAAGUGAUAAAGUUGUUGAUCCGAGGGAUGUUGCCUGGUUGGCUUCCAAAUUGGGAAAUUUGAAGGCUUCUAUUCAGGUCGAAGAUCAAUCGUGGAACCACGUAGAUCACUUAUUUUCACCGGACGCCAAACGACUAGUUUAUGAUAAGUUCAUUCCCCUCCUUCCAAAAGCAAGCUAAAAAAUUUCAACUAAAAUAGAGCUUUGAAUUCACGUUAAAACAUAUUUUUAUUACCAGACAUACCCAAUAUUUGUCCGAUUGUCAUUAUAAAAUAUUAUUAUUAUUAUGAUCUUUUUUACCUGAAUAUUUUUCAAUGAACCACCCAUCACAUUAAAUUGUAGCCUAUCAAUCGGGAAUUACUAUUCCAGUGAUAUAUAUUUUCAAACUCACCGACAAAUUUAUGGGCUAGGUUAAUAAGAUAUUGUAACGGUUCUUGCAGAUUUUGGUGUUUUGCAAAAAACACCUUUUUUUUUAGGUUUAUUGGUCGAAACAAGGACAAUCUUCAUAUCUCUGCAGAAUAAAGUGAUGGUAAAAUGAAGGAAACCUUGACCCUAAAGUGAUUUUAAUGUUUUAUUACUCUUCUUCUAACGUCCUUGAAAUGCUAUAUGGUGCCAAAAAAAAAACGGUAUCCAGUUCAGUUCAUGUUGGACCUUGCGCACAAUCGGACAUUUUAUUUCGUCUUGUCGACACGCAACAGUUAAAAUUUUUAAAAGUAAAAAAAACUGAUUUCCACAAAUUCUACAUAAGGACGGUAACAUUCGUGAAAUUCAUUUCAAUAAUUUGUGUUAUUCUAAAAUUAUUUUAUUUUUUCAUCCUCUCCCUCAUAUUUUUUCCAUUGUCUUUUCAAGCCCAUACAAUAUGAAUUGUACGACAAGAAUUUAUUUUUAUAUUGCUUGCUUCUUUUGCUUCCCGUUGACUUGGACAACGCCAUUAUCUUCAGUACUGCUGCCUAGUCAAUACAGAUUGUUUUUAAU
rnacentral:misc_RNA from 1 species